CCAAGUUAAUCAGUGGUAGAGUGUCAGUCUUGUAAACUGAAGGUCUGUAGUUCGAUCCUACGUGGA
rnacentral:tRNA from 1 species